rnacentral:rRNA from 1 species
UAGAAGUUGGUAACAAGGUUUCCGUAGGUGA